CGACGUCGGUUCCUCUUCCUGGCUGCAGUGGAUCAGGAGGAUUUUACGACGUCGCAGAGAAACUCGGGUCUUUUUCACUCAGGAAGCUUCAGGCUGAAGCCUCAAUAAAAAUGGCUUCCUGAUUUUGCGGGACCCAACAAAU